GCGACCGUCGUAUAAUGGCUAUUACCCCAGCCUUCCAAGCUGGAGAUGUGGGUUCGAUUCCCAUCGGUCGCU
rfam:Spirochaetes bacterium GWB1_66_5 gwb1_scaffold_55639, whole genome shotgun sequence.